UGGGGAAUAUUGCGCAAUGGGGGAAACCCUGACGCAGCGACGCCGCGUGCGGGAUGAAGGCCUUCGGGUUGUAAACCGCUUUUGAUUGGGAGCAAGCUUUCGGGUGAGUGUACCUUUCGAAUAAGCGCCGGCUAACUACGUGCCAGCAGCCGCGGUAAUACGUAGGGCGCAAGCGUUAUCCGGAUUUAUUGGGCGUAAAGCGAGCGCAGGCGGUCAAUUAAGUCUGAUGUGAAAGCCCCCGGCUCAACCGGGGAGGGUCAUUGGAAACUGGUUGACUUGAGUGCAGAAGAGGAGAGUGGAAUUCCAUGUGUAGCGGUGAAAUGCGUAGAUAUAUGGAGGAACACCAGUGGCGAAGGCGACUCUCUGGUCUGUAACUGACGCUGAGGCUCGAAAGCGUGGGUAGCAAACAGG
rnacentral:rRNA from 1 species